rnacentral:tRNA from 1 species
GCCGAGGUAGCUCAACGGUAGAGCGCAGCUUUCGUAAAGCUGAGGUUGAGGGUUCAAUUCCCUUCCUCGGCU